rnacentral:tRNA from 1 species
GCGGACGUGGCGGAAUUGGUAGACGCGUUAGCUUGAGGGGCUAAUGACUUAGGUCGUGGGGGUUCAAGUCCCCCUGUCCGCACCA